rnacentral:rRNA from 1 species
CCUACGGGAGGCAGCAGUGGGGAAUAUUGGACAAUGGGCGCAAGCCUGAUCCAGCCAUGCCGCGUGAGUGAUGAAGGCCCUAGGGUUGUAAAGCUCUUUCGCCAGGGACGAUAAUGACGGUACUGUAAGA